GAUGAAGAACGUAGCGAAAUGCGAUAAGUAAUGUGAAUUGCAGAAUUCAGUGAAUCAUCGAAUCUUUGAACGCACAUUGCGCCCUCUGGUAUUCCGGGGGGCAUGCCUGUUCGAGCGUCAUUAUAACCACUCAAGCUCUCGCUUGGUAUUGGGGUUCGCGGUUCCGCGGCCCCUAAAAUCAGUGGCGGUGCCUGUCGGCUCUACGCGUAGUAAUACUCCUCGCGAUUGAGUCCGGUAGGUCUACUUGCCAGCAACCCCCUAUUUUUACAGGUUGACCUCGGAUCAGGUAGGGAUACCCGCUGAACUUAAGCAUAUCAAUAAGCGGAGGA
rnacentral:misc_RNA from 1 species